AACCUAGUGGUGAAAUGUAUCAUGCCUGCAAGCUAUGAUGUGGGCUAGCUGACGGGUGCAGCAGGAGUCUCCGGUUCGAAUCCAGGCUAGGUCA